GCCUGAGAAGCAGGAAGUUAUCAGGACAUUUACUGCUGGGCAGCGAUCCCCCACUCACGGGUUCAUGGACCAGUACCAUGCCAUGGAUCAUCUGGCACCGGUUAGUGGGGAGCGCUGGAGUUAAACAGCCUACGAGGCAGUGCUGAUAUCAUUGCAACCUCCUGUGCCAGGUCACAGACGACAUGAGAAUGUCAUCACGCCGCCAGAGGCCGGGGACAGAAGAGGCCUGCAUCGCAGACAGCGAAAGUUUAAAAAAACACGGCAUGGAAAAUAAAAGCGUGCUCCUUCUUGCUGCAAAGUCACAUCCAAAGUUCCCAGGAUCAAAAAACGCAUUUUGAAGCAGAUUCCACAUCAGGUUUUUACAGCACAGAAAAAAUAAAAAUAAAACGCUCAACAGGCAAAAAACAAUCAUUCCCUUUGGGCAUGGUUCUCACCUGCUCGUUUCACAGCGCGUACGAACUCGCUGUAAAACGCCUUACGCCCAAAGGAGUACAGGAACUUCUUUGGGGCGUAUUGUCGCGCGUUCGCAUCCAUAGACUCCAACGGGAAAGCGGCAAAAUGGACGUCUCCUCUGUACAUAAACACACAGGAAAAGAUGAUGGUGCUCCGCAGGAAGUCUCUUUCAUUGGACACCUCAGUGGUCAAUCGCAAGAACGCUCGUACGAUGCGUGUUUCCUAUUUCCAAAAAUUUACUGUAAUACGCCCCGAAAACGUCCGACAAAAAUGCACGUAUCAAAUACACUCAAGUGUGAACCAGGCUAUAUGUAAGAAACCUGCCUGAAAACUAUCUGAAAAACGUGCAUACAUCUGCGAUUCUGCGCUAUUUAUUGAGAUUAGACUACACGGAGCGAGCCUACGUGUACAUGAGCUCUGGAAAAUCUCCUUCACUUUGCUGGUUCUGUAAUAAACUGCACAGAAAAAACCGUGUGUAAUGUGAACAUACCCUUACCACCAAUUCAGAUUGGUGAUCCUAUACAAACGGGCACAGACCUGGCACUGCCAGCUUCCCACACUUCUCAUACAGUAUGAGGGAAGAUUACAGAAGUGCACCUCUCAUCGGACAGGGCAGAAGCCUGGCAUCGCCUUGGUAACCCAACAGUGAUAGCUGGUGACCACCCAGACAACAGAGGCCGCAUGGCAACUGCGUGGUCACAGUAAACAACAUGCAGCCAUGAGAGAGGACAAGACUGUCGGCAGAGACAGCCAUGAGAGAGGACAUGACAGCCGGCAGAGACAGCCAUGAGAGGACCGGCAGAGACA